rnacentral:rRNA from 1 species
UACAGAGGUCCCAAGCGUUGUUCGGAUUCACUGGGCGUAAAGGGUGCGUAGGCGGUCGGGUAAGUCUGGCGUGAAAUCUCCAAGCCUAACUUGGAAACUGCGUUGGAUACUAUCCGGCUCGAGGAAUGGAGGGGAGACUGGAAUACUUGGUGUAGCAGUGAAAUGCGUAGAUAUCAAGUGGAACACCAGUGGCGAAGGCGAGUCUCUGGACAUUUCCUGACGCUGAGGCACGAAAGCCAGGGGAGCAAACAGG